rnacentral:tRNA from 1 species
GGCCAGCAGCAGGGUGGCGAAGUAGUUGCGCAUCUGGCGCAUGCGCAGGGCGUUGAUGUCCGGGUCGUCGGUCGGCCCC